UGUGUAAGUAUAAAUGAAUAACUGUGAAACUGCGAAUGGCUCAAUAAAUCAGUAAUUGUGAAUUUGGUGACAACCAAACUAAGGAUAUUUCUGUUAACACAGAAUUAAUACUUUUUACUAAUAAUGUAUUUAUUUUCUUAUUCUUUUCUUAAUUGGAAAGAAUAAAAUCAAUUAUUUUAAAAUAAAUAAUGAAAUAAAAUAAAUUCAACUAAUCAUUUAAACAAUAUAAAUGAUACACCAUUUUAAUUUCUGACCUAUCAACUUUGGAUGGUAAGAUCUGGGCUUACCAUGGUAAUGACGGAUAACGGGGAACUAGAGUUCUGUUCCGGAGAGGGAGCUUGAGAAAUGGCUACCACUUCCAAGGAAGGCAGCAGGCGCGCAAAUUACCCAAUUCUAAAUAAGAGAGGUAGUGACGACGAAUACCAAGGCUGUGCUUAUUUUAAGUAUAGUGAUUGGAAUGAAAAUAAU
rnacentral:rRNA from 1 species